rnacentral:rRNA from 1 species
AGGGCACCACCAGGAGUGGAGCCUGCGGCUUAAUUUGACUCAACACGGGAAAACUCACCCGGCCCGGACACUGGAAGGAUUGACAGAUUGAGAGCUCUUUCUUGAUUCAGUGGGUGGUGGUGCAUGGCCGUUCUUAGUUGGUGGAGUGAUUUGUCUGGUUAAUUCCGAUAACGAACGAGACUCUAGCCUACUAAAUAGAUCGUCGGCUUACAAACGCCGGCGAGACUUCUUAGAGGGACAGGCGGUGAUUCAACCGCACGAAACAGAGCAAUAACAGGUCUGUGAUGCCCUUAGAUGUCCGGGGCCGCACGCGCGCUACACUGAAGUGAUCAGCGUGCUUUUUCAACCUACUCUGUCAAGAGUGGGGAACCCAAUGAACCUUCUUCGUGAUUGGGAUAGGGGAUUGUAAUUAUUCCCCUUGAACGAGGAAUUCCCAGUAAGCGCGAGUCAUAAGCUCGCGUUGAUUACGUCCCCGCCCUUUGUACACACCGCCCGUCGCUACUACCGAUUGAAUGUUUU